GAUUUCAACUGAAAAAGUCAUCAACAAUAAAGUUGUAUAACUCAUCAAGAUCUAUAACUUUUAUUUUGAUUAUUUCUUUAUCCGAUAAAGUGAUAGUAACAUUGUUCACAAAAUUUACAUUUCUCUCAUAUGGUUGUAUAAACUACAAGAGACAUAUGCAAAUUUUGUAAACAAUGUUACUGUAACUUUGUCGGAUGAAAAAAUGAUCAUGAUAAAAAUUGUAUGUCUUGAUGAGUUCUACAACUUUUAUGUUCAUGAUUUUUUUAGCUGAAAUU
rnacentral:pre_miRNA from 1 species